GACGAACGCUGGCGGCGUGCUUAACACAUGCAAGUCGAACGGAAAGGCCCUGCUUUUGUGGGGUGCUCGAGUGGCGAACGGGUGAGUAACACGUGAGUAACCUGCCCUUGACUUUGGGAUAACUUCAGGAAACUGGGGCUAAUACCGGAUAGGAGCUCCUGCUGCAUGGUGGGGGUUGGAAAGUUUCGGCGGCUGGGGAUGGACUCGCGGCUUAUCAGCUUGUUGGUGGGGUAGUGGCUUACCAAGGCUUUGACGGGUAGCCGGCCUGAGAGGGUGACCGGCCACAUUGGGACUGAGAUACGGCCCAGACUCCUACGGGAGGCAGCAGUGGGGAUUAUUGCACAAUGGGCGGAAGCCUGAUGCAGCAACGCCGCGUGCGGGAUGACGGCCUUCGGGUUGUAAACCGCUUUCGCCUGUGACGAAGCGUGAGUGACGGUAAUGGGUAAAGAAGCACCGGCUACCUACGU
rnacentral:rRNA from 1 species